rnacentral:sRNA from 1 species
AGCCAACAUUCCUUGGGGUCUCCUUCGUUCCACAAUCUCAACUGAAAAGAGAGACCUAGAGUCUUCUUCCCAAGUAGCCAACGGAGGUAUCUCCACCCCGUCACGCACGCGCGCCACUGUCUCAGCAAAAAACGGCCGCCGCUAGCUGCGGCCCAAGCCGCCGCCAGUACGCCGACCACCACCACAAACCCCGCCGGUUGCUACCUCUGAACCAGACUAGCCACCACGACGAAGAUGGUCACCGCGUCACGGCCUCUCCGGACCAGCCACCACGUCACGCCGCGCCUCGAUCCGACUACCCAGGGAGGGGUUCGUCUCCGACGUCUCUGUGCCGCGUCUGCCUAACUGGCCGCCGCUCACCACGCGACCCAGCCACCACGCCACUGCUUCUUCCGAUCUUGGCGUCGGUGGCAACCCCAAUCGCCACCGGAAUUGUUUCCAACCGCGGCGCCAUCAACCUUGGAGGCCGCCACCGAUGGGCUCUCCUAUUCUCCUUUAUCUAUUUUCUGUUUCUAUGCUUGAUUGCUUUGAUUGGGUUUGGCUCUUGGAAUGGUUGAUGGGUGAUCCAGUGAGAAAAAUGGGGAUGAAUUUGACGAAUUCUAGAACGGAAAGGGUGGAAAUCUGAGAGGGGUUGAUCACGGGUGUUGGAGAUGAAGGCCCCUGUUGGAGAUGAAGGCCCUUGAGGUAAGGAUGAAGAUGAGGGUGAUGAGCAGAGGGGUCAGUGCCAUGAAGGGAUGAAGAUUGAUGAUGAUCGUUGGCCGUGAGGUAGAGGUGAAUGAAUGGAAUGGGUUUCAAGAGUAGAGAGAUUGAGAUGAGUGAUGGCUAGGGAGAUGACAGUAGCAUGGAAGAAAUACCGAUUCACAUGUGCAAGACCAAUUGGGACCAACAAGCAGACACAUAAAUGCUAACUCUUAAAAUGAAACACCUACUAGCUGAAGUAUUAGUUGAUGAAUGAUGAAUGGUAUCGGGGUGAGGGGAGUCGAGAUUGGAUUAUAGUUGAAGGUGGAGGUGUUGGAGAUCCCCUUUUUUCUCUUGAUGAGGUCUGUCCAAAUUCAAACUUGAAAGACUCCAUGGUCCUUCCUUUUCAAAAAUGCUUUUCAAGAUUCCGCAGGAGGAAAAGCCUCUGACUUAGGAUAUUCACUUUGAAUUCAAUUUGUCCUUUUUCCUCUUUUAUGUUUCAAAUGGAUCAAUUGGUCCUAGCGGGUCAGAUAUCCUUUCCCAUUUGAUAUAUGAUUGCAGCUACUGUAAGCCCUUUGCUGCAGAACGAUAGUCCUCUGUAUUGCAUGUUGUGAUAUGCACGUUGCAUGAUAGAAAGCUCAAUUUGUGCUUGCGUAGACUGAGAAUGGGGAGAAGCAAAGUCUGCUAUUCCUAAAAGGCUUAGUUGACUAUUGUGUUUUCUUUUUUUCUCUUUUUUUUAGAUUUUUUUUGUUUUGUUAACGUUUAACAUAAAAAAUUAAAGCAAAAAAAUACUAAAUCAAAUAAAGUGAAAUAACUAAUAUAAAAAAAGUAAAAUAGAAACAUAACUUAAAAAUAAAAAUGAAAGAAAAUAGAAUAAAA